GAUGAACGCUGGCGGCGUGCCUAAUACAUGCAAGUCGAGCGAAUGGAUUAAGAGCUUGCUCUUAUGAAGUUAGCGGCGGACGGGUGAGUAACACGUGGGUAACCUGCCCAUAAGACUGGGAUAACUCCGGGAAACCGGGGCUAAUACCGGAUAACAUUUUGAACCGCAUGGUUCGAAAUUGAAAGGCGGCUUCGGCUGUCACUUAUGGAUGGACCCGCGUCGCAUUAGCUAGUUGGUGAGGUAACGGCUCACCAAGGCAACGAUGCGUAGCCGACCUGAGAGGGUGAUCGGCCACACAGGGACUGAGACACGGCCCAGACUCCUACGGGAGGCAGCAGUGGGGAAUCUUCCGCAAUGGACGAAAGUCUGACGGAGCAACGCCGCGUGAGUGAUGAAGGCUUUCGGGUCGUAAAACUCUGUUGUUAGGGAAGAACAAGUGCUAGUUGAAUAAGCUGGCACCUUGACGGUACCUAACCAGAAAGCCACGGCUAACUACGUGCCAGCCGCCGCGGUAA
rnacentral:rRNA from 1 species